UUUACUGACUGGGGGCAAGCCCCCCACACUCGCUUCGUUCGUGCGCAAACCGCCACUCGCUACACUCACCACUCUCACGCCGAUAUGAGUGUAUUUCAAAUGUUGCCCUGUGCAAAUGUUCUGUUUUUAGUUCUGUUCCAUGUUGCUGGUGAAUGUUGCACAAUCCGCGCAGCAUGUUGCUGGAGAAUUUUUUGUAAGCAAAAGUGGUCUCACUUCAUUCAAUAGAUAGAAGAAACCUGCGAUUGGAAGUUUUUAUACCUUAUGUUCUUCUACACACCUUUAAAAUGAAAGCUAAUGGAAUGAUGAAAUUGUUCAAAUAUAUUUGUUCUCAUUGAUAAUUUUAGAACGGAACUUUGGCGAACAAGUAGCUAACUUAUGUUAACAUUUUAACAUUUUCGUUCUCUUGGUCACAGACAAGAGAGAGAAAAUAACAGCGGGCGUGUGUGGAACGUAUUGUAAGCUGUGGCAUGUGGAAGCCAGACUCUGUCUCGGACUGGGACACGGAAACCCCCUUUCCAAUCCCUCCACUCAACACAGUCAAAUGCCGGCUACGAAAUGCUCCAAAACGGAAGUGGUCGAUGACGUGCACUCGCUGUUACCGCACCCACAACAACAACCAUUUUGUGGACCCCAUAUCUUUAUCUGUUGUGGACCAAGUGUUGCAUGCUCUUGAGAGACGGAGGCAGCAACGUUGCCAAUUUUCAUGCAGAUGCAAAAAUGUUUCUAAAACCCAACUUUUGGAUAACUCCGAAAGUUCAUUGAUCCACAGAAAAAACUGCGUGAAAUAACAUCUGCUCAAAUAUAUGCUCAGGCCACACCGCACGGGCACGGGUAGUGGGGGUUAUCUAUGCCCCUGUAUUGUCACUCGUCUGUGGCCCUAAAAAUUAUAACACAAAGGCAGACGUAAGGAAAAAAAAUCAAGCAAAUUAUGGUAAAUACGCCUUAAAAACGGAUCACGCACAGAAGCAAAAGGGGUUGUGGGAGAGAGAGAGAGAGAUCUAUCUCACAUGUGGAAAGCGGGAGGUAGUGGUAGACCACUUACUUCACCGCCUACCGCUAACCUAUCAAGGCUUUCUUCGUGGAAUCGAACGUCGAACCAGUCACAAGUUAAAUAAGUAACUAAUUUAACUAUUUCUUUGGAAAAGUAUCACAAUACUAUGUACUA